AAUACCAACCGGAAACGGUUGUUAAUACCGCAUAAUGCAGCGGCAUCACAUGAUGACAGUUGUUAAAGCGGGGAUUGGAGCAAUCCAACCUCGCGCCUGAAGAGAAGCCUGCGGCAGAUUAGGUAGUUGGUGAGGUAAUGGCUCACCAAGCCUGCGAUCUGUAACCGGCCUGAGAGGGCGGUCGGUCACACUGACACUGACAUACGGGUCAG
rnacentral:rRNA from 1 species